UUCCCGUACGAUCACAGAAGUUAAGCAACGUCGAUCCUGGUCAGUACCUUACUGGGUGACCGUUUGGGAAUACCAGGUAC